rnacentral:lncRNA from 1 species
GUCAUUUAAAAUGUUCCAUUUGUUUUUCAACAAAUGUUUGUUUUGAUUCUGUUGAUUAUAUAAAAUAUUCCUGUUACUGUUAAAAUGUAGUUAUUAUAUGUAAUUAAGUCAUUAAGUCAUUUUCACAAAUUCCAACAUCACAAAUACAGCAAAUACAAAUUUGCUUUAUUGAUUAUAUGUAAUAUUGUUUCAUAAGUUAAUUACUUUUCCUGAAUGUCAUUGGUAUUUUACAAAAUCAUUAUUAUUACCUGAUACAUAUUUGUGGAGUUAUUUCUAUCUUUCUACAAAAAAUAAAACCUUUUUUUU